UUUAGGUUUAAAUUUGAUCUCUGAUUGAAACCCUAAUUUUUAGUGUUUUGUAGUAUGUACUAUGUUGUCGUGUUGUUUAAUGUUCGUCAAAUGUUUCCCUUUUAUGGCUUAUAUGAUAGAAAGUCCCAAUUUUAGGUCUUGAAAGUUUUAUCCAUUUAAUUUUUUAAUUGAAUCACAUCAUAGAAAUGCGCAUGCCUACAACUUUGUUGAGAGAUGACAUUUAGUAUGGUGUUGUGAAUAUCCACUCACUGUAUCUUUUUAUUAACAUUUAAAGUCUUAGGUUAUAAGUAUCAAGUGCAUGUCUAGGCUAUAGCUCAAUACUCUUGAAUGCUAUUGAACCAUGUAGGUGUUGAAGUUGGUUUAGUGGCCUUAUUGGAGGCUUCAAUAGCAAUAUUUAAAAACUUUAAGUAUAUUUUUCUCUUAAUCUCAUGCAUUUGUGGUUUUGCUUCUUUAGUUCUCAUUAAACUUCAUGGCAGAAUGCAACUGAAAUGCUUUUGGACAUUGCUAGUCAAGGGAAAACUCGUAGCUACGCACUUUGUUCGUGGGAAACAUGCUUAAAGGACAAUUAGAGUCAUUGGAGCUGGUCCUAUCGGAUCUACUUAUGCUAGAAUGAUGCUUAUGGCCAGUUCUUUAAAGCAAAUGGUGAAUGGCCUGUGACAUGGAAGAGGGCCUCAUAAAUGGAGGAGGUGCUUUGAGAGACUAAUGUGGUAAGCCUAAUUUCAUUUUUACCUAGUUGAACAAUAUAAACAAUGCAGGCCUCAUAAAUGGAGGAGGUGCUUUGAGAGACUAAUGUGGUAAGCCCAAUUUCAUUUUUACCUAGUUGAACAAUAUAAACAAUGCAACCGGAAAGAUAGUUCAGUGAUCAAGUUUUGGGUUUACUCCUUAAUGAUCACCAGUUCGAAUCCCCUUAAGGUCAUUGAGAUGAGUACUCGAUUGUAGACUUCAGGACCUCGUAAGAUUAGUUGAGGAGCGCGUAAGGUGCCUCGAACACCC